GAGAGAGAAAAUAUACAUUUAUUCUGUUUUGUUAUUGUUGCCAGUCGUGUCCAUGAGUAUUCAACUAGGCUUGAAAUGAUUUACAUUUCCCUCUCUCUGUAGUCACAAAGCUAGAAGCUGAGAGAGGUGGCCCCUAGUAAAGACUCAACAUCUGUCUGUGGUCAUGAAGCUGAGAGAGGUGGCCCCUAGUAAAGACUCAACAUCUGUCUGUGGUCAUGAAGCUGAGAGAGGUGGCCCCUAGUAAAGACUCAACAUCUGUCUGUGGUCAUGAAGCUGAGAGAGGUGGCCCCUAGUAAAGACUCAACAUCUGUCUGUGGUCAUGAAGCUGAGAGAGGUGGCCCCAAGUAAAGAUUCAACAUAUUUUUGCAAAUGUGCAUACUGUAUAUAUUUGUGUGUACACAUACAGUUGAAGUCGGAAGUUUACAUACAUUUAGGUUGGAGUCAUUAAAACACGUUUUUCAACCACUCCACAAAUUUCUUGUUAAACUAUAGUUUUGGCAUGUCGGUAAGGACAUCUACUUUGUGCAUGACAUAAAUUUUCCAUCAAUUAUUUAUAG
ensembl:lncRNA